UGCAGAUGGCACAAGCAAAUAUUUGCUAUCUGAAUGGCAGUGCUGACAACUUCAAUUACCAUGAUCACUGAUAUA